GACGAACGCUGGCGGCGUGCUUAACACAUGCAAGUCGAACGGAAAGGCCCUGCUUUUGUGGGGUGCUCGAGUGGCGAACGGGUGAGUAACACGUGAGUAACCUGCCCUUGACUUUGGGAUAACUUCAGGAAACUGGGGCUAAUACCGGAUAGGAGCUCCUGCUGCAUGGUGGGGGUUGGAAAGUUUCGGCGGUUGGGGAUGGACUCGCGGCUUAUCAGUUUGUUGGUGGGGUAGUGGCUUACCAAGGCUUUGACGGGUAGCCGGCCUGAGAGGGUGACCGGCCACAUUGGGACUGGGAUACGGCCCAGACUCCUACGGGAGGCAGCAGUGGGGAAUGUUGCACAAUGGGCGGAAGCCUGAUGCAGCAACGCCGCGUGCGGGAUGACGGCCUUCGGGUUGUAAACCGCUUUCGCCUGUGACGAAGCGUGAGUGACGGUAAUGGGUAAAGAAGCACCGGCUAACUACGUG
rnacentral:rRNA from 1 species